ACUGUUGUGUGUCUUUCCCUUUUGCUUUUCACCAUCUGCUUGAAAGCCCCUGCAGAAGAUGCCUCGGUUUCAAACAGCAGUAGGUUCAAAGGCACAGCUCCAGAUAUCUGAGCUAAAGGGAGACUGAGUAUCACGUCUGGGAAAGAGCUGAGGAGGUAUGAAGCCAGUUCCUAACCUGCCAGGCACCACAGCAGACUGUCGUAGCCAACUGAAGGCUGAAUAAUGGAGAAUAGCAAGCCUCAGGAAGCAUCAAGAAAAUUCAUACAACAAGCAAUAAGAAAGCCCUCAGAUCCAGCCUGAUAAGACAUUUCUUGUUCCUACUCUCAUACGUUUGCACUGUGACAGACUUCUCAGGAGGUGGUCCAGACCUUUAGGGCAACCAAAGAAGCUACAAAUUUCCUGCUCCUUUUGUACUUAUACCUGAAGCAAAAUCUUCCACUUGAAAAACAGUUUUUUUCCAUUUAGUGUUUCCAGGCUGCUGUCCAAGAUUACUAAAUUAGCAUUGCUGUCUGCCAUAUGAAUUAAGCUGUUGUAUGAUUAUCUUCACUCAUCUACAUGCCAGGGUCACACUGAGCAAUGUAUAUCUAUAUUGGAGCAAAUUGGGAUCUUUUUAAAAAGGCUGUGUUUCCUUGUUACCACAAACCUACUACUUGUCAUCAGUUCAUCUCACAUACGUCACCAGAAGCAGAAAAGGAGCAAUGCUUGAAGGCAGAAGCAGACAUAACUGUCAUGCCUGGGAGGUUGAUCUUUCUUUCUGUUGCUGACAAAACCUCUUUUCUCCUCCUGCUUAUGACAAAAAAUGAACUCGGCAGACAAGACAAAAACAUCCCUUCGGAAGCAGCUAUUAUGACUUGAUUAUGCUAGGUCUCUAGGGUUAUUAAUACUUGCUGGCUGUACUUGCCAUUAGCUUCCAUCAAGAUUUAACAAUGCUUUUUGAAACAGAACUGCAAACACUUCUCACAUCCAAAUUAACACCUGAUUAUAUUCAGUCUGUUGAGGAUGGAAUGAAUAAAGAAAGCUCACUCUUUCAAUUCCUCUUUCAAGUUCAGGACUAAUAAACGUGGUUUUAUAAACAAUAACUGUGAUACAGUCAAUAUUCAAGGUUGUGGUGCCUCCUAGGAUUGUGCAUUUAUUUAUUAUCUGCAGUAGUUCUAUCAAGUUGCUUACCUUACAAGUUCUUCAAUUUCAUCCUAGAUGUCAAUUUAACCAGAAUUUGACACUGAAUUAAAAUCUUACCUUACAUUUAGGGAAGCCACUAUGUAGUGGACAGUACAUUAAACUACUCCAAACUAGCCUUUUGCAGUGCUCCUACAAUGAACAUUGAAAGAGCCUUUGUGCCAAACACCUGCCGCAGAUCAUCAGCAAGAUAUAUUUUUUUGAAGAUUCAAACUGCUUUUAUAAAACAUCUAUUUCAUCCUACGGUGGAUAUAUAAAUGUAGGUGAGAUGAAGCGCCUUUUGGAGAUGCCUAUUACUGCUCUUGACUACAUAAAGAGACUAAGGUGACUCACUUAAUUUCAGAAACCUUUUCCAAUUAUGUACUGCCUGAUCUUCUACUAACACAAAAUGGUCUACUAUGUUUAAUCUGUGUUGGUGGGUUGAUCAAAGACUAAAAAAGGAGAAGUACUGA